GCAAGUUCACCUGCUACACACGGCGCCUCCCACACUCUUUGUCACCGGACCGCCCGGUACAGGUAAAACUGUGGUGCUGCUGCUGAUGGCCAUACAGUGGCUGCGGUGUGGUCACCACGUCUACAUUGUCAGCAUCGGGACCUGGAGUGAUGCAGCGUGCAGCAUGUUGUACUUCCUGUUGCUGCAGACAGUAAAGACUCAGCUGACAGCAGGGGCAUCGCACGGGCAGCUUCAUCCCCUGCAGUAUGACUUUACACACGACGAAGACGUGGAGAAGGCCGUCAACGACUUGUCACAGGCGGCGAUGGGAGGGUCGUUGUAUGUCAUCGCUGAUGAAGCCGGACCUGAGUACGGGCCAGUGUCACAAUACCAGACUUUCUGUGCCAAGCUGCUGACACGAGUUCCUCGUCUCCAUCUUUGGUCGGCAAGUUGUUACCAUGGACACGCACCCGCCGGCUGGCAAGUGGAAUAUUUAACCAGACCCCUCCGCUCUCCACCGGCCGUCGUCAGGGAAGUGGAGCAGGACCUGGCGAUCACUGGCACCCACGAUGUUCACAUGUACAGUGAGCGCGGGGUGCCUGUCCACGCAGACGGCCCGCCAGUCAAGCGAGUGUGUCACCGAGGUGAAGGUCACUCAAACAGGUCAGGUGACUGUGUCACGUGCUGUCGAGAGGUGGCCCGCUUCCUGCGCAGUCUCCAUGUUGGUGCUACGGGUAGGUGUGGGCAUUGACAAGUCUUGUCUCUGAUGACUUAACUUGCAACGUGAACAAGUAAUAAGUAUGUGAUGAAUAAUAAAUGUCUCCACACCAUCGACGACGAUGAACCACACCAGUGGAACUACAACAACUUUACUCCAGUGGAGAGACAUGCUGGUCUUGUCUUGGGACGGCGUUAGUGACAACUCGGGGGUGGUGAAGGACUGCAAGAAGCGGGUAUCCCAGUGCGGGUGAUGAAGGAUGACGACAUCGAGGACGUGGCCACGGCCCGCAGUGACGUGGUGUGGGUGGUUGACAGAGAUCGCAUUCGUGGUCUCGAGAGAAAAGUCAUCGUCUGCCUAGAGCCUGCUACAGGUGUUAAUGUUCGAGCCUAUGUCCGAUCUUCUCGACUUCACUCCAUGUCCCGCUGCACGUCGCAACUAGUCAUUGUCUCCCCUGAUGAUUAGCCGGGUACGAAUGAACCACACCCUACACCCCUCACCCGUCCGUUCAUUCACAUCUCUGGAUGUGAAACCAGUUCAUGAGUAUGACUGUCAGUGUCAGUGGUGUGUGUGUUAGAAGCAUUUGAUGCCUACCUGCAUGUACAAGUGUGCAUGUGCCUCGUUCUUUGCUAUUUUUAUCUAAUUACACUCGAACUUCUCCCAUUCCUAGAAUAGACCAUUUUAAACCUAGUCUAAAAUAAUCAGGGAGCGUGCUGUGAAAUAGCCUCUAUGAACUACUUUCAUCACCAUUUACCAAACUCCAUAACUAAAGGACCCUUGUAAAUGUUUUUCUUAACCGCCACUUUUGUACAUAUUAACCUUCCACUCUCCUUAUGUUAACUGCUUUCUUAGAUUACUUAGUUUAUUCUUUCCCUGUAGAGGGUGAGGGCUAAAUGAAGAAAAGCAUUUUCUUUUUUUCAAUAAAGAAUUAUUAUCACUGUU
rnacentral:misc_RNA from 1 species